CUCUGUCAUCAAAUGAUAUAGGGUGCGCACAGCGAUGACCUUGCUGCUGCCUCAAGGCUGGAAUAUACUGCCAGCUUCUACCAGACUACCAGCCCCGAUGUGGCCAAGCUUUUCCACAUUGACCCGGAGGCAAAGCGCUCGUCGGUAGUCCUGCUCAAGAAAGAGGAGGAGAAGUUGACCGUCUUUGAUGGUGAGUUCAGAGUGUCUGCUAUCGCUGAGUUUGUUUCGGCGAACAAAAUCCCAUUGAUCACCACCCUCACACAGGAAACCGCCCCUGCGAUUUUUGAUAAUCCGAUCAAGAAGCAAAUUUUGCUAUUCGUUGUUGCAAAGGAGUCCUCGAAAUUCCUGCCCAUCUUGAAGGAAACAACAAAAUCAUUCAAGGGAAAGGCACCGUCAAAUCCAUGUGACGAGGGGCAACGACCUCGACUUCAUGAUAAUAAAUGUUAGUUUCUUGUAUCGUUCGUAUUUUUGAUUUCUGCGACAUAACCUGUUCCAUAUGGUGCUAUAUAUCGUUCUAUGUCUUAACUGAUGC